AGAGUUUGAUCAUGGCUCAGAACGUACGCUGGCGGCACGCCUAACACAUGCAAGUCGAACGCAGUAGCAAUACUGAGUGGCAAACGGGUGAGUAUAAUGUGGGAAUCUGCCUUUUGGUUUGGAAUAACACGAGGAAACUUGUGCUAAUACCGGAUAAGCCUUUACAGGGAAAGUUUUAACGCCGAAAGAUGAGCCCGCACUUGAUUAGCUAGUUGGUAAGGUAAUAGCUUACCAAGGCAACGAUCAAUAGCUGUUCUUAGAGGAAGACCAGCCACAUUGGGACUGAGACACGGCCCAAACUCCUACGGGAGGCAGCAGUGGGGAAUCUUGCACAAUGGGGGAAACCCUGAUGCAGCGAUGCCGCGUGAGUGAAGAAGGCCUUUGGGUUGUAAAACUCUUUCGUCGGGGAAGAAAAUGACUGUACCCGAAUAAGAAGGUCCGGCUAACUUCGUGCCAGCAGCCGCGGUAAUACGAAGGGACCUAGCGUAGUUCGGAAUUACUGGGCUUAAAGAGUUCGUAGGUGGUUAAAAAAGUUGAUGGUGAAAUCCCAAGGCUCAACCUUGGAACUGCCAUCAAAACUUUUUAGCUAGAGUAUGAUAGAGGAAAGUGGAAUUUCUAGUGUAGAGGUGAAAUUCGUAGAUAUUAGAAAGAACAUCAAAAGCGAAGGCAACUUUCUGGAUCAUUACUGACACUGAGGAACGAAAGCAUGGGUAGCGAAGAGGAUUAGAUACCCUCGUAGUCCAUGCCGUAAACGAUGUGUGCUAGACGUUGGAAACUUAGUUUUCAGUGUCGCAGCGAAAGCAUUAAGCACACCGCCUGGGGAGUACGACCGCAAGGUUAAAACUCAAAUGAAUUGACGGGGACCCGCACAAGUAGUGGAGCAUGUGGUUUAAUUCGAAGAUACGCGCAGAACCUUACCAACACUUGACAUGUUCGUCGCGAGCCUAAGAGAUUAGGCUUUUCAGCUCGGCUGGACGAAACACAGGUGCUGCAUGGCUGUCGUCAGCUCGUG
rnacentral:rRNA from 1 species